rnacentral:rRNA from 1 species
UACGUAGGGGGCGAGCGUUGUCCGGAUUCAUUGGGCGUAAAGAGCUCGUAGGCGGCUUGGCAAGUCGGAUGUGAAAACUCCAGGCUCAACCUGGAGCCGCCAUUCGAUACUGCUAUGGCUAGAGUCCGGUAGGGGAGUGUGGAAUUCCCGGUGUAGCGGUGAAAUGCGCAGAUAUCGGGAGGAACACCGAUGGCGAAGGCAGCACGCUGGGCCGGUACUGACGCUGAGGAGCGAAAGCGUGGGGAGCGAACAGG